CAGAAAAUCUCCGUUGAUUAUCACAGCCUGUAAGCAACGACUAAGGCACGAAUGAAUGGGGAUCCUGGGCUGAGAAACUAAGCCAAGUAGCCGCCACCAAACUCGAGAGCACAUCUCUCCUCUGCACAAGCUUGUUCCAUUGGGUUCUUCUUCCUUUAGAAAGAGUGCUCUCCAAAAGGUUCCUCAGCCCUGCCUGGAAGUCAUAGAGACUUCGGACGGCUCACCCCCACCAACUCAUAUGACAGUGUGUUUCCAUCCUGCCUACCUCGUACUAACAAGAUGGCUGCAGCAGUUCCAGGCAUCCCGUGUCAACAAGAUUAUGUCCAGUGGAGGAGUUUCCCUGACAGAGUCAGGUGGCCUUAUGACCCACUUGUAACCAUGUGAGAAUAUCGUAGAAGUGAUGCCAGAUGACUUCGAAGGCCAUGUUAUAAAAGUUGAUGCUGCUGUCUUGGAAGCUGAAUUACUUACACGGCAGCACUUGAUUGCCAUAUUGUGAGGAAGCUCAACCAGCACCUGUGGAGAGACUGCAUGGACAGGCCAUGAGACUACCUGAGGGAGACACCCAUUAAGACUGCAGCUUCUCUAGCUUCUCUGCUGUUCUAGUUCCAGCCACUGUCUGACUGCAACCAUCUGUGGGGUCCCAGACCAGAAUCUCACCUCCGAGUCCUCCCUGAAUGACCUCAG